rnacentral:rRNA from 1 species
UACGUAGGGGGCAAGCGUUGUCCGGAUUUACUGGGCGUAAAGCGCGUGUAGGCGGCUACGCAGGUCCGUUGUGAAAACUGGAGGCUCAACCUCCAGACGUCGACGGAAACCGUGUGGCUAGAGUCCGGAAGAGGAGAGUGGAAUUCCUGGUGUAGCGGUGAAAUGCGUAGAUAUCGGGGGGAACACCAGUGGCGAAGGCGGCUCUCUGGGGUGCACCUGACGCUGAUGCGCGAAAGCGUGGGGAGCGAACCGG